rnacentral:rRNA from 1 species
GAUGAACGCUGGCGGCGUGCUUAACACAUGCAAGUCGAACGGAAAGGCUCCUCCUUGCAGGGGUUCUCGAGUGGCGAACGUGUGAGUAACACGUGGGUGUUCUGCCCUGCACUUCGUGAUAUGCCUGGGAAACUGGGUCUAAUACCGGAUAGCACGAUGGUUUGGAUGCCAUUGUGGAAAGUUUUGUCGGUGUGGGAUGGGCUCGCGGCUUAUCCGCUUGUUUGGGGUGUAAUGGCCAACCAAGGCGUCGCCGGGUCGCCCACAUGAGGGGGUACACUGGCACAUUGGGACUAAGAGACGGCGCAGACGCGUACGGGAGGCAGCAGGGGGGAAUAUUGCACAAUGGGCGCAAGUGUGAUGCAGCGACGUUGCGUGGGGGAUGACGGCCUUCGGGUGGUAAAGUCCAGUCGCUAGAGACGAAGCUCAAGUGACGGUACCUGGAGAAGAAGCACCGGCUAACUACGUG